ensembl:snoRNA SNORD115 Small nucleolar RNA SNORD115
GGGUCAACAAUAACACCUAAACUUGUCUGGAGGAGAGAUGAUGACAUAAAAAAACAUGCUCAGUAGCAUUAUGCUGAGGCUU